rnacentral:lncRNA from 1 species
ACAUUCAAAUAACAUAACAGACAUAAGCAAUUAAAUCAGGAAACGUACAAAUACCAAUGAAUAAAAGAAAUAAAUAAAAUUAAUUCGAUCUCACAGAUAUUUGGAACCGCGCCUUCAAAUUGGCCUUCAACUAGAUGAGAAGCUUAGCCACGCCUCAUGAGAAAAUCUCCAAGUAAUUUUACUAAGGUCCAGGCCAUCAAAGGAACUAAGAAAGAAAAAAACUAAACUAUGCUAAAAGCUAUUGAUCAGCACCCCUAGCCUCUGUACGAUUCUCCUUUUUAAAGCCGAAAGGAAGAUGACUAAUGCUUUCCUUUAUCCCAUGGUCCCCGCACGAAUUGAGAGUCCAAUUCCAUUUCACAAGCCUUUGUACGUUUCCUUUCCAAGAGCCCAAAUGAGCUUCUUAUCUCCGUGGUCCCAACGAGAUUCCCCUAUCAAAGUACGAAAAGGUAAGGCCUCUUAAUGUUUCCUCUUUUCUCGCUUCUCAUUGCUCCUAGGACUCCUAGGAUUCAAGACACUCCUCAUCAGCAAAAGAAAUGCAGUCCGUCUCUUCCUCUUCUUGUGGGCCAGGUCGAUGGAGCCUUCUUGAAGUCUCCCACUUAUGGAGCAAGUCCCUCUUUUUUUGUAGUUUCUUGCUCUAAUCCCUGAAAUUAAGUCCAAAUACCAAAUAUAAGUAAAUAUUACUAAUUAAAACAAUAUUUGGCAAGAACAAAGAGGAAAUUAAUAAUAAAAUUACUAAUAAUUAACACCCUAUCAAUAAAACAUGAAUAUUACUCUAGCUUUUGGAACCUGAAGCAAUUAUAAUAGAACGACUUUGGCCAAGAACACUGACAAUUGUAGUUGACACUCAGAAUUUUUUUUAAAAAAAACAAACAGCAUAUGAAUUUAUAAGGAAAUAGAAUAUGAUGCUUCAAGAGUUUGAUUGAGCAUUUAUUUGGGACCGUAGGCAUCCAAUGACUGAGUCGUCCAAUUGAAGAUCAAUAUGCUUGUACAGGGAAAUCUACUUGCAAAAAUUAAUGGGAAACUUUUGACCACGGAGUCUAUUUCAUUGUCCCUUGCAUUAUUGGAAGAUACAGCAUCACAACCAUUCCUUUUUCCAUUGACCAUUUGCCACUGUGAAGUCUUGGCCUGUUGGCUUAGGAUAAGAAUCCAAGACCUCCAAUGGUUGGUUAAAAGAAAUCCAUGAAAUAUUUAUUUCUCUUGUUAUAUUAGGAAUUGGUUAGUACAAAGAUUAUUCUUAUUUGAAAAGAUAUGAAGGGGACAGUUUUAUGACUCAUUACAUAAUUGAUCAAUGACCAAUAGUGAAAAAAUAUACAAAGAAAACAAAAAAUUGCCCUUUUCAUUAAUUGAUAAUCCACAAGAAUUUAGUAGCUUAAAGUGUCUUCGGUCUGUGGUAAUAUUUGUGGUAAUAUUUGGGUAUGAAAAGAUCCUCUCACAGCUACAUUUUUAUCCAAGUUCUUAAGUGGUGAUCCCAAGUUGCUAAAGGUGUUGAAAUUGGAUGGAGCUGAAUUGGACAACAUCCCAAAGCAUGUCUUCAAACUAUUUCAUCUCAAGUAUCUUAAUCUCAAGGGAACUAGAGUUAAAAUUAUUCCAAAAUCUAUUGGGAAGCUUCAAAACCUUGAACUUAUAAAUCUGACAAGAACCAAUGUAACAGAGUUGCCUGUGGAAAUUCUAAAGCUAAGAAAACUCCGUUCUCUUUUGAUAGGCGGAUUGGGAGAUUAUUCAAAUGAGUAUGCAAUUUGGGGCUGUAAAUGUCCACUUGGAAUUGGAAAGCUUAUUUGCUUGGAAAAUCUGACUAAUAUAGAAGCAGAUAGUGAUAAAAUAGUAAGGGAGAUUGGAAACCUCAUGCAGCUGCAGCGAUUAUGGAUCACAAAGCUGAGAAGAGAAAAUGGAAAAGAGUUGCUCUCGUCCCUCUUGAGGCUGACCAACCUUCAAGAAUUGGUCAUCUCCUGUAUUGAAGAAGAUG